CCGAGUUACAACUCCCAAACCCCUGUGAACAUACCUAUACGUUGCCUCGGCGGAUCAGCCCGCGCCCCGUAAAAAGGGACGGCCCGCCCGAGGACCCCUAAACUCUGUUUUUAGUGGAACUUCUGAGUAAAACAAACAAAUAAAUCA
rnacentral:misc_RNA from 1 species